rnacentral:rRNA from 1 species
UAGGCGGAAUGUUGCGUAAAGGGAAAGGUCGUUUCAAAGCCCUGCACUACAUGGUCUAAAUUUGGCUAGAAUUUCCACUGUAUACCCAACGGUUACUAAGGUUGUCCACAGAGGGUGUCAGCCCCGUGCUUCCAUGUGGUAAAUUGUGCGUGGGUUCGUCCUUUUUCCCUGAGAGUCGCGUUGCUUGGAAUUGCAGCGCUAAGCAGGUCGUAAACUCGACCUAAGGCUAAAUAUAUUCACAGAACCGAUAGUAAACAAGUACCGUGAGGGAAAGUUGAAAAGUACUCUGAAGAGAGAGUCAAAAGACCGU